CAGUAGCCACGGGAACACGUAGGGUGCAAGCGUUAAUCGGAAUUACUGGGCGUAAAGCGUGCGCAGGCGGUUAUAUAAGACAGAUGUGAAAUCCCCGGGCUCAACCUGGGAACUGCAUUUGUGACUGUAUAGCUAGAGUACGGCAGAGGGGGAUGGAAUUCCGCGUGUAGCAGUGAAAUGCGUAGAUAUGCGGAGGAACACCGAUGGCGAAGGCAAUCCCCUGGGCCUGUACUGACGCUCAUGCACGAAAGCGUGGGGAGCAAACAGGAUUAGAUACCCGUGUAGUCCCUGUCUCUUAUAC
rnacentral:rRNA from 1 species